AGAGUUUGAUCCUGGCUCAGGACGAACGCUGGCGGCAGGCCUAACACAUGCAAGUCGAACGGUAGCACAGAGAGCUUGCUCUCGGGUGACGAGUGGCGGACGGGUGAGUAAUGUCUGGGAAACUGCCUGAUGGAGGGGGAUAACUACUGGAAACGGUAGCUAAUACCGCAUAACGUCGCAAGACCAAAGAGGGGGACCUUCGGGCCUCUUGCCAUCAGAUGUGCCCAGAUGGGAUUAGCUAGUAGGUGGGGUAACGGCUCACCUAGGCGACGAUCCCUAGCUGGUCUGAGAGGAUGACCAGCCACACUGGAACUGAGACACGGUCCAGACUCCUACGGGAGGCAGCAGUGGGGAAUAUUGCACAAUGGGCGCAAGCCUGAUGCAGCCAUGCCGCGUGUAUGAAGAAGGCCUUCGGGUUGUAAAGUACUUUCAGCGGGGAGGAAGGUGUUGUGGUUAAUAACCACAGCAAUUGACGUUACCCGCAGAAGAAGCACCGGCUAACUCCGUGCCAGCAGCCGCGGUAAUACGGAGGGUGCAAGCGUUAAUCGGAAUUACUGGGCGUAAAGCGCAC
rnacentral:rRNA from 1 species